rnacentral:lncRNA from 1 species
GUAGGGGAUUGGGGGUGGGUGGGUAUGGGGGACUUUUGGUAUAGCAUUGAAAAUGUAAAUGAGCUAAAUACCUAAUAAAAAAUGGAAAGAAAUAAAAAAAGAAUCCAUGUAAAGGUAGAAGGAGAGAGUUACUCCACAAGCUUGUCUCCUGGAUUAUACCUACCUAUCAUGGCAUGUGUUUAUUCACAAAGAAAUGGGUAAAAUAUAGUUCAAAUGGUUAAAAGAUACAGAAUAUACUUAGUAAUUUAGCAUAUGAUACGUAUAAGAGAAAAUAAUGAAUUAAGGAAAGACUUUAUUCUUAUUAAAAAGAAUAGUUUCUCAAAAAAGGAGUUAAAAAGAAAAUAAUUUAUAGAAAACUCAAAACACAUGAAAUAGCAAAUAAAAUACACAAAAAGUGUAAAAAUACUUGUAGAAAAUAUGAAACAUUGUUUUUAAAUGAGCAAAAAAAUUAAAUUGCAUUCUUGAAAAUGUAAGAUGUUUAACUAAAGAGUUUAAUCUUGGGGAAUGUUCUUAUUUUGUGAAAACUCAAUAAAAUGUGAAUUACCUACAUUGGAAUAAUUGCAGACACCCCUACAAAAGCUAACAUAAAAAAGCAAGUAGUGAAAUCCAGGCCAUGGUAUCUGUUUGUAAUCACAGCACUUGAGAAGUGAAACAAGAGUAUCAGAAUUUCAAGACUGUCCAUGGCAAGAUUAACUGUGAGUUGAGAAAUAAGUCUAAUAGUGUUAAAGGUGAGCUAGGAAUGGAACAAUAGGCAUUUAAUUUGGUAGAUAACAUAAACCAGCUUAUUUGGUUUGAAAUAAUUUAUGUUAAAGAUGAAUGGGGGGGCUAGAAAAAUGGCUUGGUGUUUAGAAGUGCUGGCAACUUUUCCAGAGGACCUGAAUUCAGUUCUCAGCACCCAAGAGUUGGCAGCUAAUAACUUCCUGUAAUUCUAUUUCCAGAGGAUGAGACAUCUCUAAGGGCUUCCCUGGGCACUGCAUGCAGGGGACAUAUGCUCAGACAGAGAAACAUGCAACCACAUAUAUGAAGUGGCUUUUGGGGAAGGAAAAGUGUUUAUUUUUUAUUUUACAUUAUUUUUUUUACUUGUUUGUAAUUGCCCUCUGGUACACUGCCCAUACUCAGAGGACACAUAUGUGUUGCAGGUGGGCAGUGAUAAUUGGACUCUGGGAAGAAGAAGGCAUGAAACUGGGAAGAAGGCGGUGUGAUUGGAGGAAAAGUACAAAUGCAAAGGUAAUAAAAUAAUGACUUAUCAUUCAAAAAGCCCUAACAUAUGAUUUGAAUAAAGUUUAAAAUAUUUCAAUUAUUAUGAGCACAAUGAAAAUAAAUAUAGUAUAUUAUCAAUAAGAUAUGGGGCUGGUGAGAUGGCUCAGUGGGUAAGAGCACUGACUGUUCUUCCAAAGGUUCUGAGUUCAAAUCCCAGCAAUCACAUCGUGGCUCACAACCACCCAUAAUGAGAUCUGACACCCUCUUCUGGUGUCUGAAGACAGCUACAGUGUACUUAUGUAUAACAAUAAAUAAAUCUUUAAAAAAAAGAAUAUAUGUAAACAGUAAAAGUGAGUAGUAAUAGGAUACAUAGUUUCAGAAUUUCACUGUUGAAUAUAGCCAACACCAAAGCAUGCAAACACGCUCCCAAUUAUUUAGGAAUGCUCAUGGAGCAAUUACAAAUAUCAUAAACCCAGGGCAGCAACUACAUAUCGUUUAGUGUCCAUAAGUAAUGAAUGGUAUAUCCAUUUAAUUAACAAAAUAUUUUGAAUAACUAAAUUUUAUAAAAAAUAAUAGAAACAGAAGAAAAAUAUUAAUGUUUAAAUUCAGUACAAUUCUGUUUAGAUGCUUUUCAAAAUCAGCCAUAGUCUGUCCUAAAAUAGAGAUAAGAAGUAGAGAUGUGCAUACAUGUGGGAGUGUAGGAGGAGGAGCUACUGCCUUAGGCCUCACAUUCACAUGUCUUCUUGAAGGAUGCACUCUGCCAGAUGUAUCUGGUCUUUGUGCACUUGUUUAUAGGGUGUUCUUUCAUUGACACAGUAGGCAUAAAAAGGCUUAAAAAUAGGAUGGACUUGAGAAAAGAAGGGAUUAGUAAAUGAAAAAGGGAUAAAAGCAGGUAAAGAUGAGUAUGAUAAAAACAUAUUUGUGUGUGUGUAUUGUGUGUGUGUGAGAGAGAGAGAGAGAGAGAGAGAGAGAGGGAGAGGGAGGGGGAGAGGGAGAGAGAGAGAGUAACAGUAAAAUAAUUUUGUAGGGAUAUGGGUACCUGUGUGUAUAGAAGAGGGAGAUGAUCAGUAGACAAUGCAGCUUGGCAUCAAACUCAUUAUGUAGUCCAGGUUGGCCUUAAACUAGUGAUCUUCCUCCUUCAGCCUACAAAUAUGAGAUUAGAUGUGGUUAGCACUAUAGAUGAUAAUUUUACAUCAUAAUAGAAAAAUGAGAACAAAAAUCCUUCCUAAAUAAAACCAAGGAUUUUGCUUCUGCCUUAUCCAGAAAAUGAAUUGUACUUAAGAGGAUCUGAAUCUAAGAAGCUUCGCCUUCAGCAGAUGACACAAUUGCUCUUGCUCAUUGGGUGGAUGCAUACUACCAACCCUGAGGACUUCAGUUUAAUCCCCAGUAUUUACAUGAUUGAAGGACAGAGAUGACUAGUCCAAAUUAUCCUCUUUACAUCCUUAAAGAAGUUAUGAAAUAUACAUGCCUACAUAUGACCUAAAAUCCACAAGCACACAAAUAUAUAAAAACAUAGUUUUAAAAACAAUAUGGCUUCAAAUAUUGGAUUUUAGGCAUAAAUUGGUGAGGAAUGAACGCAAGCUGGAAAUUGAAGCAAUAAAACCACAUGGCUUCAUAAUGAACUGUAUUAUUUUUCACAAGUAAGUAACAUUGUAAAUGUAUUAAUUACACAUUCUCUGUCAAAAUGUC